GAUGAACGCUGGCGGCGUGCCUAAUACAUGCAAGUCGAACGGCAAGACUGGUAGCAAUACUGGUCUGAGAGUGGCGAACGGGUGAGUAAGACGUAGGUGAUCUACCCCUGGGUGGGGGAUAGUCCGUGGAAACACGGGGUAAUACCGCAUGAGGCCUUGUGGGUAAAGCCAUGAGGUGAAAGCUCCAAUUGGAGCGUCUGGGGAUGAGCCUGCGGCCCAUUAGGCAGUUGGCGGGGUAACGGCCCACCAAACCGACGAUGGGUAGCCGGCCUGAGAGGGUGUACGGCCACACUGGAACUGAGACACGGUCCAGACUCCUACGGGUGGCAG
rnacentral:rRNA from 1 species